GCUUGAGCCACAGAGCAGGGUGAAGCUUUACAGUUCUGGAGUAGAAGUAUGAAUGGGAUUGAAGUAUUUACGUGGAGGACUCUGAACUCCUUCCCUUCCUGAGUCAGGAAGGAUAGGGGCCUGCUUUGAGACCUACUGAAGCUGUCUUGAAUGAUGUGACAAAUGGCUCUCCGCAUGUACUGAGAUGCAGCACAGCCAGGAGAGCCCCUGGCCCCUGAAUACUACCUUCAGAUGGAGGAGGGAAAAUAACAUCUACAGGCACGGUAAUGUCUUCACUUUGCUACAAGAUGCAGAUGGAUCACUCCUUGCCAGCUUUCAAGGCAAAUAUUGCUGUAUAGUCCUUGCCCUCAGCAACAUCGUCAGUGUCCUGGUGAUGGGUGCUUUGAAAGGAUUGGGCAGAAGAGACGUCAUGCUACCUCUGCACAUCAGACUCUCUGUUCUGCAUAAAGCUGCACUGUUCGGAAGAAGCGAGAUUGUCUUUCCUCACAGCUACGGCGCUGCGCCACUCUCAACACAGUCUGCUUUUCCCCCCAUUUACCUGGGCGGCUGCUGCUGUUUCUGCUGCUGCUGGGGCUGCUGCAGUCUCGCUGCCUGUGCUUCACCCUGGCUUGGCUGA
rnacentral:lncRNA from 1 species